AAUAGUGCGAGUUUGCCUUGUCUUUUAGCAUUUUUUUUAUACAUCGGCAUCAGCUGGCCUAAACUGCCGUCUCCUCUUUCACCCGCCACCAUAACAUCCGCCGUCUCUCCAAACAUGGGCGUCCCAAGAUUCACACGGCCCAAAACACCGGCAACCGAUUCACCAAGUCCUUAUCUCUACGUAGCCAACUGUGGACCAGCGGUUGGGCUUUCUUAUGACACAAUUGCUUCCGUGUUUAACACCUUUGGACAGGUGAAAGGAAUUUACGCAGCAGAUGAAAGCGGAACACGUGUUAUAGUUUCUUAUUCCGAAGCUAAUUCUGCCCAACAAGCUCUUACUGCACUGAAUGGGAAAUCUUGUGCUGAUCUUGGUGGCAGGUCUUUGCAUAUUCGGUAUUCGGUUAUUCAACCAAAUUGCGAGGCUGAGAGCCAGCAGGUUAAUGAACACAUUCCUGUUUCACUGCUGGACUCGGAGGUUAAUAUUCCUGGGCUUUAUUUGGUUCAUGAUUUUCUCAGUCCUCAGGAAGAAAAGGAGUUACUGGCAGCAGUUGAUGAAAGGCCUUGGAUAGGUCUAUCUAAAAGGAGGGUGCAGCAUUAUGGAUAUGAAUUUUGUUACGGAACAAGGAAUGUUGAUACAAAACUGCAUUUGGGUGAACUUCCAUCAUUUGUUUCUUCGGUACUUGAAAGGAUUUCAUUGUUUCCUGGCCUUAACAGUUCUACAAGCAUACUCUUGGACCAACUCACAGUAAACGAGUACCCACCUGGGGUGGGCUUGUCUCCACACAUAGACACCCAUUCUGCAUUUGAGGGAUUGAUUUUUAGCCUUUCAUUAGCAGGGCCUUGCAUCAUGGAGUUCAGGAGAUACUUGGAUGGUUCAUGGGUUCCUGAUGCUGCCUCUAGUGCUUAUACAAAGGUGGAAAAUGUUGUCAACUGCUCAAAUCUAGUAAGGAGGUCUCUCUAUCUUCCUCCUCGGUCCAUUCUUCUUUUAUCUGGGGAAGCACGCUAUGCUUGGCAACAUUACAUUCCACACCAUAAGAUUGACAUGGUGAAUCAAAGUGUGAUCAGAAGGGGUGCAAGAAGGGUAUCAUUUACAUUUCGUAAGGAAGAGACAACCAGCAUUUUUCUUAUCGACUGCUAGCACAAAGAAUGAGUUGCGGCAGUGGUGCCAUCGGAAAGACAUGUUUAAUGCAACUUUUAAAGGAUCUUCAUCAAUCUGUUGGUUAUAUAAUCCCUCUACAUUGCACAUAACAAUAAGUCAACUAUUUGUUUGGCUGAAAAUCUUACAUUUCAUGCAAAAGCAAAGGAUGUGUAAGUGCGUUAACCCUGUUUGAGCAGGUAGGUAUUACAAGGAGAGUUAGAUCAACAAUAAUUUGCCACAAAGAACAAAGUGGCUGGUAAAUUCACUGAAGGGCACAAUAGUAAGUAACAAGCUUGCGUAGUUUGGAUCAUGGCUCAGAAUUACAAUGGGAAAAUCGUUUUUGAAGGGGUGUGUUGAGGAUAAAGAACAAACCCUUGGUUGAAGAAGCAGCAUUAAAGCUAGCUAGCAAUAAUUAAUUAUGAAACCAAGCUGUACUUCAAAAGAAGUUGCUCCCAGCCAUAAGGGAAGUCUUCUCCAACGGUACUUAGAGGUCCUUGCCAAUGUGAAUUUCCACAAUACUGUGAUUCAGAAAGAUAGGAGAAGCUGUUGGGUGCCAUUUGAGGUAAUCGACUGAGCUUUUUGACAUAGAGUGUGUUAUAACUAUAUUUAUGAGGGUGUUAUAACAAGACCAAGUCUGAAGAGAAGUCCGCGAAGAAAUCCGGAAGCAUCUAAUAUGAAACCUAGAGUUGUUGUUUUAAUUAUUUUUCUUGCCUUCAAAUUGGAGGCAAUAGGAAACAAUGAAGGAAGCAGAAAGUUGGCGCCAAAAAUGGGAUGAGCCAAAAUAGUACGAGUAAUUAAAGCUAACACUUAUCACCUGUAGGACAAGCAAAUAAAAAAUUUCCCCUAUGCGUGGCACUCCAACCAUUUAAAGGUGUAAUUCUAUUGAAACAUCAGGUUUUAAAUCCUCAUUUUUGUGAUGAAAAUUUUCUAAUUUAUGCC